rnacentral:rRNA from 1 species
GGAAUCAUUGGGUUUAAAGGGUCCGCAGGCGGAUGUUUAAGUCAGUGGUGAAAUCCUGCAGCUUAACUGCAGAACUGCCAUUGAUACUGUACAUCUUGAAUUCGGUCGAAGUGGGCGGAAUGUGUAGUGUAGCGGUGAAAUGCAUAGAUAUUACACAGAACACCGAUUGCGAAGGCAGCUCACUAGGCCUGGAUUGACGCUCAUGGACGAAAGCGUGGGGAUCAAACAGGAUUAGAUACCCUGGUAGUCCACGCUGUAAACGAUGAUUACUCGAUUUCGGCGAUAUACUGUCGGAGACUAAGCGAAAGUGAUAAGUAAUCCACCUGGGGAGUACGAUCGCAAGGUUGAAACUCAAAUGAAUUGACGG